CUAGCAUCACUAGUAUUAGAGGCACUGCCUGCCCAGUGACACACGUUUAACGGCCGCGGUACUCUGACCGUGCAAAGGUAGCAUAAUCACUUGUUCUUUAAAUAAGGACUCGUAUGAAUGGCACCACGAGGGUUUAACUGUCUCUUACUUUUGACCAGUGAAAUUGACCUGUCCGUGAAGAGACGGACAUGAAACAAUAAGACGAGAAGACCCUGUGGAGCUUCAAUCUACUAGCACAACUAAAAACCAUGCAAACCAACAGGCCCCUAAACUCCUAUACCUGUACUAAAGAUUUCGGUUGGGGUGACCUCGGAGCACAACUAAACCUCCGAAUAAUCCAUGAUAAGACCACACAAGUCAAAACAAACACACUUACAAUUGAUCCAAUAACUUGAUCAACGGAACAAGUUACCCCAGGGAUAACAGCGCAAUUCUAUUCUAGAGUCCAUAUCGACAAUAGAGUUUACGACCUCGAUGUUGGAUCAGGAUAUCCUAAUGGUGCAGCAGCUAUCA
rnacentral:rRNA from 1 species